rnacentral:rRNA from 1 species
UCGGAUUGUAGUCUGCAACCCGACUACAUGAAGCCGGAAUCGCUAGUAAUCGCGGAUCAGCAUGCCGCGGUGAAUACGUUCCCGGGCCUUGUACACACCGCCCGUCACACCAUGAGAGUCGGGAACACCCGAAGUCCGUAGCCUAACCGCAAGGGGGGCGCGGCCGAAGGUGGGUUCGAUAAUUGGGGUGAAGUCGUAACAAGGUAUC